UCUACAUAUAUGUUGAACCUAUCUUUAGCAAUGCAGGGGAUACUAUUGGUGUGGAUUACAUGGGAAUGGAUGUAACUAAUCAGGUGAGAAAAAGGGAAAAGAUGGCAAAACUUCAAGAGGAAAUAGCAGUACUAAAAGCCAAGGAGAUAGAGCUAAAUGAAACAAUUCAUAUAACAGAGGAAACAAUGUGAGCAAAACAAAUGUUGGCAACCAUGUCUCAUGAGAUAAGAUCUCCACUCUCAGGAGUUGUAAGCAUGGCUGAGAUUCUUUCCACCACAAACCUUGACAAGGAGCAAAAACAAUUAUUGAGUGUCAUGUUAUCUUCAGGAGAUUUAGUUCUUCAACUUAUAAAUGACAUUCUUGACCUUUCCAAAGUUGAAUUAGGUUUGAAGUUUCAUCCCUCCCUUAUAUUUACAUGUUCUUAUCCUUGUUUACAUUGUUUGUAUGAGACUUGAUCAACAUUCUUGGACCAAUUCCCUAAUCAAUUGGUGAUCUAUCUAACAAGGUAUCAAAACUUGCAUUCCAGGAGGUCUUAGGUUCUAGUCUUCUUGUAUGUAUUUGUUUCCUCAAUAGUAUGCUACUGUGCACUCUUUCAUGUGUGUUUGUGAAUCAUCUAUUAAUAUUUGUUACCCUUUAUUCUAGGCGGGGGUGCUUUUUGUAAUGGGCAAAAGAUUCAAGUGAUUCAUACUGAUAAGGUGAGUGAUCAUGUUAUAUCUAGACUAUAAUGUUUUAUUCAAUAGGUGACCUUCAAUAAGACCCUUUUUUUGUUGGUGGUGGAUGUGGAAGUGAGACUGGUUGAGGAUGUGCCCAACAACACUCUCUGUUUUAUGGCGUUUAGACUCGAGGAAUUUUUCUGCGAACUUUACAUACUUUCAAACCUUGUGAUGAGUUCUUUCCAUUAUGGAUUUUUGAGCACAUUCUUUGUGAGCCCCUCUUAUCAGUUCCUUCCCCAAGCUCAGUUUAUGCAAGGAAAAUGAACUAGAAGAAGGUGGAGCAAUCAUUUCUAGUUACUGGAUUUGGGUAUGAACAUGAUGAUGCAUGGUGUACCAACAUAGAGUUAUUCAAAGAAUUUACUGAUGUCAGCCGGGGCGUGAGAAGGCUUGGUGCUGCUGCAGUGGAUAUGUGCCAUGUAGCUUUGCGAAUUAUAGAAGCAUAUUGGGAAUAUCAUCUAAAAUCAUGGGAUAUGGCUGCUAGUGUUUUGAUACUACCCUUUUGAGUACGUGAUGCUAUCUUCGCAUAUCAAUAUUGGAGUUUACUGUUGAUACUAAAACAAGCUGCCAAUAUAUAUGUUUUUUUAUUUGUAUUGUCGAUAUUUGGUUUCGUUUUAGAUACAAAUUUGAGUUUUUGAAUUAUCAAAAAAUAUUAGUAUUGUUAGAGGAUGUUUUAUAUAUUUUUGUAAAGAAUGUUUGGUUGAUAUUGUAUCGUUACAGGAUAAAUAU